AUUGAACGCUGGCGGCAGGCCUAACACAUGCAAGUCGAGCGGAUGAAGGGAGCUUGCUCCUGGAUUCAGCGGCGGACGGGUGAGUAAUGCCUAGGAAUCUGCCUGGUAGUGGGGGAUAACGUCCGGAAACGGGCGCUAAUACCGCAUACGUCCUGAGGGAGAAAGUGGGGGAUCUUCGGAUCUCACGCUUUCAGAUGAGCCUAGGUCGGAUUAGCUAGUUGGUGGGGUAAAGGCCUACCAAGGCGACGAUCCGUAACUGGUCUGAGAGGAUGAUCAGUCACACUGGAACUGAGACACGGUCCAGACUCCUACGGGAGGCAGCAGUGGGGAAUAUUGGACAAUGGGCGAAAGCCUGAUCCAGCCAUGCCGCGUGUGUGAAGAAGGUCUUCGGAUUGUAAAGCACUUUAAGUUGGGAGGAAGGGCAGUAAGUUAAUACCUUGCUGUUUUGACGUUACCAACAGAAUAAGCACCGGCUAACUUCGUG
rnacentral:rRNA from 1 species